CUUUGCGUUGAGCUCGAUGAGUUGGUUGUUCAGGGAAUCAGCGUUUGAUUCGGACUCUUGAAGCCUACCUUGAAUACCAGAAAACUCUUCCUGGAGCUUGAAGUUCUGGUCGUACUGACCCUGCAGCUCCCCCUUUACCUGCGCAAGUUCGGAUGUUAAAUUGUCGACUUUGUCCUCCAGCUCGUGCUUGGAGCCGGCAGAAGAACUGACUUCAG
rnacentral:lncRNA from 1 species